rnacentral:rRNA from 1 species
GACGAACGCUGGCGGCGUGCUUAACACAUGCAAGUCGAACGAAGAGCGAUGGAAGCUUGCUUCUAUCACUCUUAGUGGCGAACGGGUGAGUAACGCGUAAUCAACCUGCCCUUCAGAGGGGGACAACAGUUGGAAACGACUGCUAAUACCGCAUACGAUCUAAUCUCGGCAUCGAGGAAAGAUGAAAGGUGGCCUCUAUUUAUAAGCUAUCACUGAAGGAGGGGAUUGCGUCUGAUUAGCUAGUUGGAGGGGUAACGGCCCACCAAGGCGAUGAUCAGUAGCCGGUCUGAGAGGAUGAACGGCCACAUUGGGACUGAGACACGGCCCAGACUCCUACGGGAGGCAGCAGUGGGGAAUCUUCCGCAAUGGACGAAAGUCUGACGGAGCAACGCCGCGUGAGUGAUGACGGCCUUCGGGUUGUAAAGCUCUGUUAAUCGGGACGAAAGGCCUUCUUGCGAACAGUUAGAAGGAUUAACGGUACCGGAAGAGAAAGCCACGGCUAACUACGUG